GACAGAGGCCCCAAGCGUUAGGCGGAAUCACUGGGCUUAAAGCGUGUGUAGGCGGAUCGUUAAGUGUCUUGUGAAAUCCCACGGCUCACCCGUGGAACUGCUGGGCAUACUGGCGAUCUUGGGCCAACUAGGGGCAGCCGGAACAAGCGGUGGAGCGGUGAAAUGCGUAGAUAUCGCUUGGAACGCCGAAGGUGAAAACAGGCCGCUGGGGUUGCGCCGACGCUGAGACACGAAAGCCAGGGGAGCAAACGGG
rnacentral:rRNA from 1 species